GACAGAGGGGGCAAGCGUUGCUCGGAAUCACUGGGCGUAAAGGGCGCGUAGGCGGGAUGGCAAGUCGGUCGUGAAAUCUCUCGGCUCAACCGAGAAACGUCGGCCGAUACUGCCGUUCUUGAGGGAUGCAGAGGAGACUGGAAUUCCCGGUGUAGCGGUGAAAUGUGUAGAGAUCGGGAGGAACACCGGUGGCGAAGGCGGGUCUCUGGGCAACAACUGACGCUGAGGAGCGAAAGCGUGGGGAGCGAACAGG
rnacentral:rRNA from 1 species